rnacentral:rRNA from 1 species
AGCAGUAGCCGCGGUAAUACGGAGGGUGCAAGCGUUAAUCGGAAUUACUGGGCGUAAAGCGUGCGUAGGCGGUUCGUUAAGUCUGUUGUGAAAGCCCCGGGCUCAACCUGGGAAUGGCAAUGGAUACUGGCGAGCUAGAGUGUGUCAGAGGAUGGUGGAAUUCCCGGUGUAGCGGUGAAAUGCGUAGAGAUCGGGAGGAACAUCAGUGGCGAAGGCGGCCAUCUGGGACAACACUGACGCUGAGGCACGAAAGCGUGGGGAGCAAACAGGAUUAGAUACCCGCGUAGUCCCUGUCUCUUAUAA